GAUGAACGCUAGCUACAGGCUUAACACAUGCAAGUCGAGGGGCAGCAUGACGAUAGCUUGCUAUUGUUGAUGGCGACCGGCGCACGGGUGAGUAACGCGUAUCCAACCUGCCCUUGUCCACCGGAUAACCCGUCGAAAGGCGGACUAACACGGUAUGCAGUCCACAGCAGACAUCUAACGUGGACGAAAUGUGAAGGAGAAGGAUGGGGAUGCGUCUGAUUAGCUUGUUGGCGGGGUAACGGCCCACCAAGGCGACGAUCAGUAGGGGUUCUGAGAGGAAGGUCCCCCACAUUGGAACUGAGACGCGGUCCAAACUCCUACGGGAGGCAGCAGUGAGGGAUAGUGGUCAAUGGGCGAGAGCCUGAACCAGCCAAGUAGCGUGCAGGAAGACGGCUCUAUGGGUUGUAAACUGCUUUUAUACGGGGAUAAAGUGAGUCACGUGUGGCUUAUUGCAGGUACCGUAUGAAUAAGGACCGGCUAAUUCCGUGCCAGCAGCCGCAGUAA
rnacentral:rRNA from 1 species